CCUACGGGAGGCAGCAGUGGGGAAUCAUGCGCAAUGGCCUAACGGCUGACGCAGCGACGCCGCGUGAGGGAUGACGCUCUUCGGAGUGUAAACCUCUUUUGACCGGAACGAAUUGCCACCAUCAGGUGGCUUGACGGUACCGGUUGAAUAAGCACCGGCUAACUCCGUGCCAGCAGCCGCGGUAAU
rnacentral:rRNA from 1 species